UACGUAGGAGGCGAGCGUUGUCCGGAGUUACUGGGCGUAAAGGGUGCGCAGGCGGCGGUGCGCGUGGCGAGAUGAAAUCUCCUGGCUUACCUGGGAGGGUGGUCGCCAGACGGCAUCGCUUGAGGGUCGGAGAGGGGCGUGGAAUUCCGGGUGGAGCGGUGAAAUGCGUAGAUAUCGUUUGGAACGCCAAUGGUGAAAACAGGUAGCUGGGGCUGUGCUGACGCUGAGACACGAAAGCCAGGGGAGCGAACGGG
rnacentral:rRNA from 1 species